GUUGUGAUGGCAUAGUCGGUUGUGCUUCGGUUUGAGCUCAUUCUAUGAUGGUUCAAUUCCAUCUCCCAUCC